rnacentral:misc_RNA from 1 species
GCAAACUUGGUCAUUUAGAGGAAGUAAAAGUCGUAACAAGGUUUCCGUAGGUGAACCUGCGGAAGGAUCAUUAACGAAUCUAAGUCGAUACACUGUGCUGGUGGAAACACAUGUGCACGUGUGUCGCAAACAUCCACACACCUGUGAACCCUAGACUCUGUGGUGAUUGACCGCCCUGACUUUUGGUCUAUGCGAAAGAGGGUCUCUGAGCCCUCCGUCUCCCAGGGUACUUUUAUCACACUCCAAAUGUAAUGGAAUGUCUCUGUGCAUAAUGCGCAAAUAUACAGCUUUCAACAACGGAUCUCUUGGCUCUCGCAUCGAUGAAGAACGCAGC